ACGGAAGUCGUUGUAAUGAAAUGGAAAUGGACAGAGAACUUGUUCGAAGAAAGUUGAAGUAGACUUACAACAAUGGCUUUAGUGGCGGACUGGUGAGUAACGCGUAAGGAACCUGCCUUUUAGAGGGGAAUAACAAUGAGAAAUCAUUGCUAAUACCGCAUAUGCCGAGAGAAUCACAUGGUACAAUCGGGAAAGGAGCAAUUCGCUAAAAGAUGGCCUUGCGUCUGAUUAGAUAGUUGGUGGGGUAACGGCCUACCAAGUCGACGAUCAGUAGCCGGACUGAGAGGUUGAACGGCCACAUUGGGACUGAGAUACGGCCCAGACUCCUACGGGAGGCAGCAGUCGGGAAUAUUGCGCAAUGGAGGAAACUCUGACGCAGUGACGCCGCGUAUAGGAAGAAGGUUUUCGGAUUGUAAACUAUUGUCGUUAGGGAAGAGAAAGGACAGUACCUAAGGAGGAAGCUCCGGCUAACUACGUGCCAGCAGCCGCGGUAAUACGUAGGGAGCGAGCGUUAUCCGGAAUUAUUGGGUGUAAAGGGUGCGUAGACGGGAAGAUAAGUUAGUUGUGAAAUCCCUCGGCUUAACUGAGGAACUGCAACUAAAACUGUUUUUCUUGAGUGCAGGAGAGGUAAGUGGAAUUCCUAGUGUAGCGGUGAAAUGCGUAGAUAUUAGGAGGAACACCAGUGGCGAAAGCGACUUACUGGACUGUA
rnacentral:rRNA from 1 species